CGCUCUCGUUUAAAGAGAACCAA
rnacentral:snRNA from 1 species